UUUUUUUUUUUUUUUUUUUUUUUUUUUUUUUUUUUUCG
rnacentral:ribozyme from 1 species